rnacentral:rRNA from 1 species
GAUGAACGCUGACAGAAUGCUUAACACAUGCAAGUCUUUGGCGAAGCUGUGCUCGCACAGCCUAGCCAAGGCGGACGGGUGAGUAACGCGUAGGGAACUUGCCCUGCAGUCAGGGAUAACAGACGGAAACGACUGAUAAGACCUGGUAAAGUCAGGCGGACUCAUGUCCAGCCUGAUGAAAAGAGAUGCUGCAGGAGAGCCUUGCGUCCUAUUAGCUUGUUGGUGGGGUAACGGCCCACCAAGGCGAUGAUAGGUAGCCGGCCUGAGAGGGUGGACGGCCACAAGGGGACUGAGAUACGGCCCUUACUCCUACGGGAGGCAGCAGUGGGGAAUAUUGGACAAUGGGGGCAACCCUGAUCCAGCAAUUCUGUGUGCACGAUGAAGGUUUUCGGAUUGUAAAGUGCUUUCAGCAGGGAAGAAAAAAAUGACGGUACCUGCAGAAGAAGCGACGGCUAAAUACGUG